UGAGCUUCGGGGUAGUCCGCGAGGCUGGGUUCCGUGCUGAGGGGCGUCGCGUCUGGCCGUGCGCUGCGGGAGCGCGCGGGCCUGGCCCGCUGUCCUGGCCGCUGCGAGGCGCUCAGCUUCUUUCUGAGUGUUCCGCCGGGUUCGACAGGGUCGAGGUCGCCGGCGCGAGGCUCCCGGAUAGCUGAGGGGCGCGAGGGCGCCUCCAGUCUCCCACCUGCCCUCCCGCGCCGCGGACUAGGCUGCCAGUCUACCCCACCGGGACGUCUGCCCCCGCAUGCAGGAGGGGGUGUGUCGGCCCAACGGGGUCUCAGGACCUGUCCCUGCUCCUCCAAAGCCCACGUCGCCUGCGGCGCCCCUCGGGUCUGCGCCGCGUUCUCCUUUAGCCUCCCGGGCCUCUCCGCUGCCCCUCGCCCCCAGGCACCAGCCACACCUGCUUCCUUCUGUUCCCGCCCGUGGCCUCUGACACGCCGUGCCCUGGACCCGAAAUGCCCGCCCCACUCCUGGAGCCUCCGGUGUGUGAGAGGCACCUUUCCUUGGGGUCAGGGGCCCGGACUCUGAAGCCGGCCUGGCUUUGCCUGUGGGCCCCGAUCCUCCCAGCUCGAGUCCCUCGCCCCAGCCGCCGCGGGCCUUCACCUGUGCUUUGGGGACGACAGGAUGGCCACCCUCCUUCCCCCAAAGAUUUGAGGGUUUUGCUCCACGCGGGAGAAGGUCUGCCUGUGCCACCAGCCGGCAGCCUUUCACAUGCUGUUGCGUUACGGGGCCCUCUGUGACCUUUCCCUAGGCCGAGGGGUGCUUCGUCUCUGUUCCUGAGAGACCAGAAUUUAUUCUUGGUUUGUCAAGCCACAUCUGUAGGAAUGUUGCCCAGUUGCAGCAGGCUGGGGUCUGGGACUUGCUCCUUUGGCGAAUUGAGAAGUAAGGAUAUAGAAGGCAUUUUAGCACUAAUGGAAACCAGAACCACUCUUAGACCUGGGCAAGAGGGGCCCCAGAAAUUAGCAAGCGAUUAGCAAGCAGCUGGAUUUCGAUGACCUCCACUGUACUUAGAGCAACGGCAUUCGAUUCGUUGGAUCAUUUCAAAGAUGACAUACUGGGUUGUUUGUUUGUUUCUGGCGGUGUCUAAAGAUGGAACAUCUUGAAGCAUUUUGAAUUUGACCUGUGGCUACCCUCAGAUACAAUGAUGGUAACCCCAUGAGUGCUGUUAAAGCAAUUUGACUUAUUGUAGACAGGUUAACACAUGAGAUGCGUUAAAAGAGUUAAGUGAAAUAAUAGGCAGCAUUCAAAGAGCAAAUCGUGGUCUUUGGCAGAAAAUAGAGUUAAUUUUGUAUUUGAGCUGUCCAGUUAUUACAAUUAGAAAACGUUUUAAAGAAUCCAAAAGGAUUUAAAAUAUUGCAUAAAGUUUUAGGAGAAAAUGGUUUCCAAAAAGCAACUGCAUAUGAAAUAAGCACUAAAAUGACAUUAAAGUACAAUGUAAGAAAAUCGGAACUAGAAGCAUUUGCUGGAGUCUGAAGAAAAAGAUUUAUGGAUGAAUGAUUCUGAAACUAACUUCUAUAGAGACAAUUUUCCGGCGAUGGUAGAUCAAGGUGUAGAUUGUACUGAAGAGAGAGAUUCAAACAAAGUGAGUAAUCUACCGCAGUUUUCAGUUUUCUUGGUAAUACCCCAACAACGUAAAAGAAAAACGUAAGAAAUCCUGUAUGGAUCUAAAUGUAAGAAACGAUGAUAAUGGUGAAAUAAUAACAUUAUUUUAUAUAAUGAAAAUAUUGUGUAAUAUUUUCUGCAAUCAUAAUUUUUCAUAUGCACCCUUUCUACACUGUUUAAACAUGAUAUCAACAGUCAUGAUUCAGUUCUACAUAUAACGCUUUAAGAAUUUAUUCAUAAUUCGUUACCACUCAGCAGAGUCAAGUUUCUCCCAAUUGAAAUAACUAAAAACUAUCUGAAAGUAUACUGACUCAGGAAAGUUUGUCUAAUUUGGCACUACUGUCAAAAGAAUGCAAUUGCGUGAAAAUCUUCAUUAGUCAUUCUUCUGAAAUGAAGACAAGAGAAACAUUUAUAGAAGAAAUAACAUAAUUUAUGGAUUAUGUGAUUAUGUAUGUCUUUAUUACCCAUCCAAGCAUUAGUGGCCCAUCAACAUAAUACCUAGAGAUACACAAUAAAAAUUAGCUAUCUUUAAUAUUUUGCCAAUUUUCAGCUAUAUUAAAACCAUAGUUUUACACAUAAUUUUGAAUUCUGUUUUAUGAAGGUGUAUUUGUCCAGGUAAGUGGAUAUAAAUAUUUUAUGUAACAGUUCGUAAGCUUUUAAAUAUUUAGACAUACAGAGAUUUGUAGUCCUGCCCUAGGCCCCACAGAUGCUAGGGGUGGGCUUGCUGGGAAAAAUGCAUAUAUGUUGUGGCAAUACUUAUAAAAUGUUGUAUGGAUGUAAUCUUAAAAGAUUAUCACAAUAUCAGAUAUUGUACAUUGUGUAUUUAGGUGAAGACUGUGAAAGAAAAUCUGAAAAUCAGAAGGAAUUGAAUGCAGAUGAAAAUCUAGAGCUAAAAUAUUGCUAAUAGCAGCAAAAGGGGGUACUGUGGAAGAAUAACUUCUUAUGUACCCCACUUCACUGAAUAUCCUAUUCGCCCCGUUCUCCAUUUCUGCCAGUAACAUGGAAGUCUAAAGGCUUGCAUUUUGUUUCUAGUGCUAACUAAUGAAAUUCCAGAAGCAGGCCUUAAAAAUGCAAAGUCUUCAUAAUUAACAAUAAGUGUUGAGAUAGUUGAAGGGCAUAUAUCCCCUUCUCUGUACCUACAGCAAUUGAACUUUCUCUGCAUAUAAAAC
rnacentral:lncRNA from 1 species